rnacentral:sRNA from 1 species
ACCAGGUUUUUUGGCACAGGGCUGUAAUCCCUGCUACUGAAGUGGCUGAAGCUAGUAGACAACUUGUGCUCAGGAGUUCUGAACUGAAAUAGGUUUAAAGCCAAUAUGAACUAAGUCCAAUCCUAAUAUGGUGAGCUCCUGGGAGUGGGGGGCCACCAGGCUGCCUAAGGAGGUGUGAACUGGCUUAGGUUAGAAAUGAAGCAAGUCAAAGCUACUGUGCUGAUCAACGUGUUGUUGUUCAGCCAUGUCAGUUGUGUCCAACUCUU